CGCUGGCGGCAGGCCUAACACAUGCAAGUCGAGCGGAUGAAGAGAGCUUGCUCUCUGAUUCAGCGGCGGACGGGUGAGUAAUGCCUAGGAAUCUGCCUGGUAGUGGGGGACAACGUCUCGAAAGGGACGCUAAUACCGCAUACGUCCUACGGGAGAAAGCAGGGGACCUUCGGGCCUUGCGCUAUCAGAUGAGCCUAGGUCGGAUUAGCUAGUUGGUGAGGUAAUGGCUCACCAAGGCGACGAUCCGUAACUGGUCUGAGAGGAUGAUCAGUCACACUGGAACUGAGACACGGUCCAGACUCCUACGGGAGGCAGCAGUGGGGAAUAUUGGACAAUGGGCGAAAGCCUGAUCCAGCCAUGCCGCGUGUGUGAAGAAGGUCUUCGGAUUGUAAAGCACUUUAAGUUGGGAGGAAGGGUUGUAGAUUAAUACUCUGCAAUUUUGACGUUACCGACAGAAUAAGCACCGGCU
rnacentral:rRNA from 1 species